GCAGUCGAGGGGUAUUAGUUUUCGGACUAAGAGACCGGCGCACGGGUGCGUAACGCGUAUGCAAUCUACCUUUUACAGAGGGAUAGCCCAGAGAAAUUUGGAUUAAUACCUCAUAGUAUAAUGACUCGGCAUCGAGAUAUUAUUAAAGUCACAACGGUAAAAGAUGAGCAUGCGUCCCAUUAGCUAGUUGGUAAGGUAACGGCUUACCAAGGCUACGAUGGGUAGGGGUCCUGAGAGGGAGAUCCCCCACACUGGUACUGAGACACGGACCAGACUCCUACGGGAGGCAGCAGUGAGGAAUAUUGGACAAUGGGCGCAAGCCUGAUCCAGCCAUGCCGCGUGCAGGAUGACGGUCCUAUGGAUUGUAAACUGCUUUUAUACGAGAAGAAACACUGCUUCGUGAAGCAGCUUGACGGUAUCGUAAGAAUAAGGAUCGGCUAACUCCGUGCCAGCAGCCGCGGUAAUACGGAGGAUCCAAGCGUUAUCCGGAAUCAUUGGGUUUAAAGGGUCCGUAGGCGGUUUAAUAGGUCAGUGGUGAAAGCCCAUCGCUCAACGGUGGAACGGCCAUUGAUACUGUUAAACUUGAAUUAUUAGGAAGUAACUAGAAUAUGUAGUGUAGCGGUGAAAUGCUUAGAGAUUACAUGGAAUACCAAUUGCGAAGGCAGGUUACUACUAAUGGAUUGACGCUGAUGGACGAAAGCGUGGGUAGCGAACAGGAUUAGAUACCCUGGUAGUCCACGCCGUAAACGAUGGAUACUAGCUGUUGGAAGCAAUUUCAGUGGCUAAGCGAAAGUGAUAAGUAUCCCACCUGGGGAGUACGUUCGCAAGAAUGAAACUCAAAGGAAUUGACGGGGGCCCGCACAAGCGGUGGAGCAUGUGGUUUAAUUCGAUGAUACGCG
rnacentral:rRNA from 1 species